rnacentral:rRNA from 1 species
CAGAGAUUUUCAAUGGGGGAUAUUUAACGCCAUCCAACAUCGAGUAACAAUUGGAGGACAAGUCUGGUGCCAGCACCCGCGGUAAUUCCAGCUCCAAGAGCGUAUAUUAACGCUGUUGCUGUUAAAGGGUUCGUAGUUGAACUGAGGACUGUCAAGGAGCAAGGUGCGUCCCACCCUCCGGGUCGGCGACCCCUUCUCUUGCUGUCCGUGAACGUCAGAAACAAACAUCGCGGGAGCGUUCCCUCUGACCUCGCGUGCAAUGUACGCAAGAGGGCGCCCGUGUGUCUUACUGUGACUAAAAAAGCGCGACCAAAGCAGUCGUUCGACAUGAAUUUGAAAGCAUGGGAUAACGAAGCCUACCAGCGGAUUACCGUUUCGGCUUUUGUUGGUUUUAAAGAUCCGAGGGAGAUUAUGGCUUCUGCAUUGACAAGCGGUUCGGGGUUUUGUCCCCACGCCUCCGUCUUCGGACGGCUUGCAGGGCCCUGAAUGAAGGAGGGUUGUUCGGGGGAGAACGUACUUGAGCGUGAGAGGUGAAAUUCUUAGACCGCUCAAAGACGAACUACAGCGAAGGCAUUCUCCAAGGAUACCUUCCUCAAUCAAGAACCAAAGUGUGGAGAUCGAAGAUGAUUAGAGGCCAUCGUAGUCCACACCACAAACGAUGACCCCCACGAAUUGGGGAGUUUUUGGCUUGGCUUCCUUCAGCCUUCCGGCUGUUGGGGCCUUCCAAUUAAGAAUACAAUUUACGUGCAUAUUCCGUUGGCUUCGGUCAAUAACGGGAAUAUCCUCAGCACGUCC